rnacentral:rRNA from 1 species
GGUUAAGCGACUAAGCGUACACGGUGGAUGCCCUGGCAGUCAGAGGCGAUGAAGGACGUGCUAAUCUGCGAUAAGCGUCGGUAAGGUGAUAUGAACCGUUAUAACCGGCGAUUUCCGAAUGGGGAAACCCAGUGUGAUUCGUCACACUAUCAUUAACUGAAUCCAUAGGUUAAUGAGGCGAACCGGGGGAACUGAAACAUCUAAGUACCCCGAGGAAAAGAAAUCAACCGAGAUUCCCCCAGUAGCGGCGAGCGAACGGGGAGCAGCCCAGAGCCUGAAUCAGUGUGUGUGUUAGUGGAAGCGUCUGGAAAGGCGUGCGAUACAGGGUGACAGCCCCGUACACAAAAAUGCACAUACUGUGAGCUCGAUGAGUAGGGCGGGACACGUGGUAUCCUGUCUGAAUAUGGGGGGACCAUCCUCCAAGGCUAAAUACUCCUGACUGACCGAUAGUGAACCAGUACCGUGAGGGAAAGGCGAAAAGAACCCCGGCGAGGGGAGUGAAAAAGAACCUGAAACCGUGUACGUACAAGCAGUGGGAGCACGCUUAGGCGUGUGACUGCGUACCUUUUGUAUAAUGGGUCAGCGACUUAUAUUCUGUAGCAAGGUUAACCGAAUAGGGGAGCCGAAGGGAAACCGAGUCUUAACUGGGCGUUAAGUUGCAGGGUAUAGACCCGAAACCCGGUGAUCUAGCCAUGGGCAGGUUGAAGGUUGGGUAACACUAACUGGAGGACCGAACCGACUAAUGUUGAAAAAUUAGCGGAUGACUUGUGGCUGGGGGUGAAAGGCCAAUCAAACCGGGAGAUAGCUGGUUCUCCCCGAAAGCUAUUUAGGUAGCGCCUCGUGAAUUCAUCUCCGGGGGUAGAGCACUGUUUCGGCAAGGGGGUCAUCCCGACUUACCAACCCGAUGCAAACUGCGAAUACCGGAGAAUGUUAUUACGGGAGACACACGGCGGGUGCUAACGUCCGUCGUGAAGAGGGAAACAACCCAGACCGCCAGCUAAGGUCCCAAAGUCAUGGUUAAGUGGGAAACGAUGUGGGAAGGCCCAGACAGCCAGGAUGUUGGCUUAGAAGCAGCCAUCAUUUAAAGAAAGCGUAAUAGCUCACUGGUCGAGUCGGCCUGCGCGGAAGAUGUAACGGGGCUAAACCAUGCACCGAAGCUGCGGCAGCGACGCUUAUGCGUUGUUGGGUAGGGGAGCGUUCUGUAAGCCUGUGAAGGUGUGCUGUGAGGUAUGCUGGAGGUAUCAGAAGUGCGAAUGCUGACAUAAGUAACGAUAAAGCGGGUGAAAAGCCCGCUCGCCGGAAGACCAAGGGUUCCUGUCCAACGUUAAUCGGGGCAGGGUGAGUCGACCCCUAAGGCGAGGCCGAAAGGCGUAGUCGAUGGGAAACAGGUUAAUAUUCCUGUACUUGGUGUUACUGCGAAGGGGGGACGGAGAAGGCUAUGUUGGCCGGGCGACGGUUGUCCCGGUUUAAGCGUGUAGGCUGGUUUUCCAGGCAAAUCCGGAAAAUCAAGGCCGAGGCGUGAUGACGAGGCACUACGGUGCUGAAGCAACAAAUGCCCUGCUUCCAGGAAAAGCCUCUAAGCAUCAGGUAACAUCAAAUCGUACCCCAAACCGACACAGGUGGUCAGGUAGAGAAUACCAAGGCGCUUGAGAGAACUCGGGUGAAGGAACUAGGCAAAAUGGUGCCGUAACUUCGGGAGAAGGCACGCUGAUACGUAGGUGAAGCGACUUGCUCGUGGAGCUGAAAUCAGUCGAAGAUACCAGCUGGCUGCAACUGUUUAUUAAAAACACAGCACUGUGCAAACACGAAAGUGGACGUAUACGGUGUGACGCCUGCCCGGUGCCGGAAGGUUAAUUGAUGGGGUUAGCGCAAGCGAAGCUCUUGAUCGAAGCCCCGGUAAACGGCGGCCGUAACUAUAACGGUCCUAAGGUAGCGAAAUUCCUUGUCGGGUAAGUUCCGACCUGCACGAAUGGCGUAAUGAUGGCCAGGCUGUCUCCACCCGAGACUCAGUGAAAUUGAACUCGCUGUGAAGAUGCAGUGUACCCGCGGCAAGACGGAAAGACCCCGUGAACCUUUACUAUAGCUUGACACUGAACAUUGAGCCUUGAUGUGUAGGAUAGGUGGGAGGCUUUGAAGUGUGGACGCCAGUCUGCAUGGAGCCGACCUUGAAAUACCACCCUUUAAUGUUUGAUGUUCUAACGUGGACCCGUGAUCCGGGUUGCGGACAGUGUCUGGUGGGUAGUUUGACUGGGGCGGUCUCCUCCUAAAGAGUAACGGAGGAGCACGAAGGUUGGCUAAUCCUGGUCGGACAUCAGGAGGUUAGUGCAAUGGCAUAAGCCAGCUUGACUGCGAGCGUGACGGCGCGAGCAGGUGCGAAAGCAGGUCAUAGUGAUCCGGUGGUUCUGAAUGGAAGGGCCAUCGCUCAACGGAUAAAAGGUACUCCGGGGAUAACAGGCUGAUACCGCCCAAGAGUUCAUAUCGACGGCGGUGUUUGGCACCUCGAUGUCGGCUCAUCACAUCCUGGGGCUGAAGUAGGUCCCAAGGGUAUGGCUGUUCGCCAUUUAAAGUGGUACGCGAGCUGGGUUUAGAACGUCGUGAGACAGUUCGGUCCCUAUCUGCCGUGGGCGCUGGAGAACUGAGGGGG